rnacentral:lncRNA from 1 species
UCCCUACACUCUAUAUUUCCCUGAGAAUAUGGGGAAAGGGGGGUGAUGUUCUGGGUUCUUUUUUUUUCCUCCGUAUGGGGGGAUUGAACCCAGAUGUUUUUAUUUUUUAUUUUGAGUCAGUCUCACUAAAUUGCUUAGAGCCUCCCUUAGUCGCUGAGCAGGCCUCAGACUUGUGAUCCUCUUGCCUCAGUCUUUUGAGUUGCUGGGAUUACUGGUGGGUGCCUCUGCACCUGGCCUUGGUUCCUUUUUUUUUGAAGACUUCCCCUGGGGGCGGUGCCCACCCAGGAUCCACACCUCACUUCAAGAAUAUGCCCUGGGAAGUUGUGGUAGAUGGAAUGGUGCCCCCCACCAAGGUAUCCACUCUCUAGUACCUGGAACCUUUGAAUAUAUUACUUCACAUGGCAAGACACUUCACAGAUUGAACAGUGAAGGAUCCUGAGGUAGGGAGCUUAACCUGCACCAUAUGGGUGGCCCAGGCAGUCAUGUGGGACCUUAGAAGAGGAGGGCAAGAGGGUUGGUCAGAGGAGGAGAUGAGCUGAUGCAAAAGGAGGUCAGAAUGAUUUGGGGCCAUGAGCCAAGAGUGCAGGCAGCCAGGAAAGGCAGGGACUACGAUGCAGUGGAAAGACAGUGAGUCAGGUUGUCUCCUGCGACCCUGAGAGACUUUCUUUUUUCUUCUUCUUUGACAAUCAAACUGGGGAUGGAAAACAGGGGGUGCAUCACACCACAACUCAGCCUUUUUUAUUAUAAAUUUUGAGAUAGCCUCGCCAAGUUGCCCAGGCUGGCUUCGCACUUGUGAUCCUCCUGCCUUGGCCUCCCUAGGAUUACAGAUGAGCACCACUG